rnacentral:rRNA from 1 species
UACGGAGGGAGCUAGCGUUGUUCGGAAUUACUGGGCGUAAAGCGCACGUAGGCGGCUUUGUAAGUUAGAGGUGAAAGCCUGGGGCUCAACUCCAGAACUGCCUUUAAAACUGCAUCGCUUGAAUCCAGGAGAGGUGAGUGGAAUUCCGAGUGUAGAGGUGAAAUUCGUAGAUAUUCGGAAGAACACCAGUGGCGAAGGCGGCUCACUGGACUGGUAUUGACGCUGAGGUGCGAAAGCAUGGGGAGCGAACAGG